rnacentral:rRNA from 1 species
CACCAGCCCAUCGAGUGGUGGGGAUGAUUAUUUGGCCUAAAGCGUCCGUAGCCGGCCGGGUAAGUUUCCCGUUAAAUCCAGCGUCUCAAGCGUUGGACUGCGGGAAAUACUGCCUGGCUAGAGAGUGGGAGAGGUAUACGGUAUUCUGGGGGUAGGGGCGAAAUCCUUUGAUCCCCGGAGGACCACCAGUGGCGAAGGCUGUACACUAGAACACGUCUGACGGUCAGGGACGAAAGCUGGGGUAGCGAACCGGAUUAGAUACCCGGGUAGUCCCAGCUGUAAACGAUGCAUGCUAGGUGUUGGGUUGGCCACGAGCCACCCCAGUGCCGCAGGGAAGCCGUUAAGCAUGCCGCCUGGGAAGUACGAUCGCAAGAUUGAAACUUAAAGGAAUAGGCGGGGGAGCACCACCAGGCGUGAAGCCUGCGGUUU